GGGGUUGUGACUCAGUGGUAGAGCGCUUGCCUAGCAUGUGAGGCACUGGGUUCAAUUCUCAGCACCACA
rnacentral:tRNA from 1 species